rnacentral:rRNA from 1 species
GGUGAGUAACACGUGGAUAACCUACCUAUAAGACUGGGAUAACUUCGGGAAACCGGAGCUAAUACCGGAUAAUAUUUUGAACCGCAUGGUUCAAGAGUGAAAGACGGUCUUGCUGUCACUUAUAGAUGGAUCCGCGCUGCAUUAGCUAGUUGGUAAGGUAACGGCUUACCAAGGCAACGAUGCAUAGCCGACCUGAGAGGGUGAUCAGCCACACUGGAACUGAGACACGGUCCAG